CGGAGAGAAGAGGCACUGUUGUCCCAAGAAGCUGUCUCAAACGCAGCACGUCUUUAAAUAUCGAAAACGUCUCUUCUCGCUGGUAAAAGGUGACUUGAAGCGGUGAGCUAACGCCACCGAACUUUUCUGGAACGCAUGCGCAUAAGCGCUCAGUCUAAGCAAAUGAAGAUGAAAGAGGAAGCCAGGGAUCAGGAAUUAGAAAACCUACAGACUUUCCUGUCUCAGAAGAGGCUCUGGCUCCACCAGAUCACCAACCAGUUCUGAGGACGAACCUCCACAUCGUCUUCAUGGUGGAAGGCUUUUUUUUUUUUUUUUUUUCCAAACUGAACAGCUGGCCACGUUUUUAACGGCAACAACUGGGCCCUGUGAUGGACUGGUGACCCGUCCAGGGUGAACCUCGCCUCUUAUCUGAUGACAGCUGGAGACGGGCACCACCAGCCCCCCUCACCACCCUGCAAGGAUCAACGUGUUCAGAUCAUGGAUGGAAAGCUUUUAAGGUAGAUUGUCUCCCUUAAGUCCACACUUAAAACAACUUCAUUGUUAAUGCCACCAUCAACUGAUUCUAUGAUAUUGCUGACUAUUUUUUUCUAC